GCGAAGCAGUGGGUAGAGGUGGGGGAAAUAGGUGGGGGGCAGGCGUUGGCCGGGUGGGUGGGGCGGAGAGAGGGGGUAGGCGGCCAAGGAGUACCGCUGUGAAAACGCGGGGCUAAACGUGGGGAGGUCGGUGGAAACCGUGUGGCUAGAGUGCGGAAGAGGGGAGUGGAAUUCCCGGUGUAGCGGUGAAAUGCGCAGAGAUCGGGAAGAACACCCGUGGCGAAGGCGGCUCUCUGGGACGGUACUGACGCUGAGACGCGAAAGCGUGGGGAGCGAACAGGAUUAGAUACCCAGUAGGUC
rnacentral:rRNA from 1 species